rnacentral:rRNA from 1 species
GUGGGCCCUCGAAAUCCUGUGGUGAGAACAUUCAGUCUGGGUGUCGCGUCGCAGGCCUGGGCGUGCUUUAUGGUUCCCGUGACGGGGCCGGCUCGGCUAGCGUUGCGUGGCAAACUGACGCAUUUGUUUCCCGCCCGAAGGACGCCGCAACCGGUUGGUGGACGGUCUUAAGAGCGAGAGCCGGAAGGUGGCCGGCGGCGCGCCUCGUGUGUGUCGCCGGUUGUUAGCCAUCUCGCAGGACGGCCCGUUCGCCGACCGUGGCAAUAAAGAGGCCCGGCUGGGCUUCGUCGUCUCCUCCUUGAAUUGCGAGAUAAGAAGCGUCGCAGGAGUUCGGAGUGGUGUUGUCGCACGAAGCGAGUUCGUGGCCCUCACGCUGCUCCGUCUCUGUUGGCUUGAUGCAAGACUCGCGGGAGUGAUUGACGGUUUGCGGCGAGUAGAUCGGUCACCCACCCGGCCCGUCUUGAAACACGGACCAAGGAGUCUAACAUGUGCGCGAGUCAAUGGGUCUUGAAUAAGCCCGGCGGCGCAAUGAAAGUAUAGGCCGGCGGAGGUCGGCCGCAUUCGGGAUCCCCGCUCCCUCGUGGGCGGGGCGCACCGAAGACCCGCUGCGUUCCACUUGUGGAAGUGGCGGAGUUUGAGCGCACACGUUGGCACCCGAAAGAUGGUGAUCUAUGCCCGGACAGGACGAGGCCAGAGGAAACUCUGGUGGAGGUCCGUAGCGGUUCUGACGUGCAAAUCGAUCGUCAGAUCUGGGUCUAGC